ACGGAGGGUGAAAGCGUUAAUCGGAAUUACUGGGAGUAAAGCGCACGCAGGCGGAUUGUUAAGUCAGAUGUGAAAUCCCCGGGCACAAACUGGGAACUGCAUCUUAUACUGGCAAACUUGAGUCUCGUAGAGGGGGGUAGAAUUCCAGGUGUAGCGCUGAAAUGCGUAGAUAUCUGGAGGAAUACCGAUGGCGAAGGCGACCCCCUGGAAGAAGACUGACACUCAGUUGCGACAUCGUGUCGAGCAAACAG
rnacentral:rRNA from 1 species